GAAGUGCGAUAAGCAAUGCGAAUUGCAGAACCACGAGUCAUCAGAUUUUGAAGCACCACUAUUCAUGAUGGGUCUCCAGCCAGCAUGCUUGUUUCAGUGUCUUGUUUUCUCCUCGCCCAAAACUUAAUGCGAGAGAUACCCACCCUUCUCUUGCCAAGCAUGAAAGCACUCUUCUUCUGCGAGCGGUUUAUUACUUUAUCAAGGGUCGCACUCAAAGCAGACGUCACAUUUUACAAUUCGAACUCAUUGAGAGCAGAAGCAGUCAGCUAACGCUGUCAGUGCUUAGCCACUUAAACUUUAUUUGCAUCUGAAAUCAAGCAGGAUCACCCACUGAACUUAA
rnacentral:misc_RNA from 1 species